rnacentral:rRNA from 1 species
GACGAACGCUGGCGGCGUGCUUAGCACAUGCAAGUCGAACGGUGAAAGCGGAGCUUGCUCCGCUGGAUCAGUGGCGAACGGGUGAGUAACACGUCGGCAACCUGCCCCUCACUUCGGGAUAACUCCGGGAAACCGGGGCUAAUACCGGAUAUGACCUCCUUGGGCAUCCUUGGAGGUGGAAAGCUUUUCGGUGAGGGAUGGGCCCGCAGCCUAUCAGCUUGUUGGUGAGGGAGUGGCUCACCAAGGCGACGACGGGUAGCCGGCCUGAGAGGGCGACCGGCCACACUGGGACUGAGACACGGCCCAGACUCCUGCGGGAGGCAGCAGUGGGGAAUAUUGCGCAAUGGGCGAGAGCCUGACGCAGCAACGCCGCGUGCGGGAUGACGGCCUUCGGGUUGUAAACCGCUUUCAGCAGGGAAGAAGCCGCAAGGUGACGGUACCUGCAGAAGAAGCACCGGCUAACUACGUGCCAGCAGCCGCGGUAA